rnacentral:lncRNA from 10 species
GACCCCGCAGACCCCGCAGACCCCAUGGACCCAGGUGCAGAGGCGGUGAAGUCAAUGGCCACCUGCAGUGGGCCGGGAGCCAGGAGCUGUGCUGGGCCGGGGCUCCCCGAACCCGCUCCUGACAGGUAGAGAAACCACGCCCAGAGUGGCCAGGACUCAGGGUCAGGGGUCGCGUAGGUGGGUAGGGCUGGGGGGCUGCUGUUGGGGCUGACCCACCUGCUACACAGGGCCAGGAGAGGUCUCCUCAAAACCUGCCAGCCCCUAGGCUCCCUGGAUCUCCGGGAGGACACCCCACCAGGAUCACCCUGGCCUUGUGGGGGCCCCGCCCAUCCUUCUUAGUGGCCGCCCAACCCCUCUACCACCCUCCCCGGCAGGGCCUAAGUGGACCAAGCCUGGUCUGGGUCCCCCCACGUUUCCCACUUGCUGGCUUCUCCCAAAGCCAUUCUGGGGCUCGUUCAACAAAACACGAACCAGCGCAUCUGCAAAUAACACGCGGGUGACACGGGGGCCGUGUAUCUGUGGGUGACACGCGGGUGACACGGGGGCCGUGUAUCUGUGGGUGACACGCGGGUGACACGGGGGCCGUGUAUCUGUGGGUGACACGCGGGUGACACGGGGGCCGUGUAUCUGUGGGUGACACGG